CCUACGGGUGGCAGCAGUGGGGAAUAUUGGACAAUGGGGGAAACCCUGAUCCAGCAAUGCCGCGUGUGUGAAGAAGGCCUGCGGGUUGUAAAGCCCUUUCGGUUGGGAAGAAAAGUUUGGCGCCAAUACCGCCGAACCUUGACGUUACAGACAGAAGAAGCACCGGCUAACUCUGUGCCAGCAGCCGCGGUAAUACAGAGGGUGCAAGCGUUGAUCGGAAUCUCUGGGCGUGGUCAGUGCGUUCGGGUUCGAAAUCCCCGGGCUUAACCUGGGAACUGCAUUCGAUACUACAUGGCUAGAGUAUGGUAGAGGGAAGUGGAAUUUCCGGUGUAGCGGUGAAAUGCGUAGAUAUCGGAAGGAACACCAAUGGCGAAGGCAGCUUCCUGGACUAAUACUGACACUGAGGCACGAAAGCGUGGGUAGCAAACAGGAUUAGAUACCCUAGUAGUC
rnacentral:rRNA from 1 species